rnacentral:rRNA from 1 species
UGGGGAAUUUUGGACAAUUGGGCGAAAGCCUGAUCCAGCAAUGCCGCGUGUGUGAAGAAGGCCUUCGGGUUGUAAAGCACUUUUGUCCGGAAAGAAAUCCUUGGCUCUAAUACAGUCGGGGGAUGACGGUACCGGAAGAAUAAGCACCGGCUAACUACGUGCCAGCAGCCGCGGUAAUACGUAGGGUGCAAGCGUUAAUCGGAAUUACUGGGCGUAAAGCGUGCGCAGGCGGUUUGCUAAGACCGAUGUGAAAUCCCCGGGCUCAACCUGGGAACUGCAUUUGGGUGACUGGCAGGGCUAGAGUAUGGCAGAGGGGGGUAGAAUUCCACGUGUAGCAGUGAAAUGCGUAGAGAUGUGGAGGAAUACCGAUGGCGAAGGCAGCCCCCUGGGCCAAUACUGACGCUCAUGCACGAAAGCGUGGGGAGCAAACAGGAUUAGAUACCCUGGUAGUCCACGCCCUAAA